rnacentral:tRNA from 1 species
GGGCGAUUGGCUCAGUUGGUUAGAGCGCCGCAUUCACAUUGCGGAAGUCACUGGUUCGAGUCCAGUAUCGCCCA